rnacentral:sRNA from 1 species
CACAGAAACUGCCUUGUCCACGGGCCCCGCCUCAAACUCCAACACUCACCAGAAAGCAGAGGAGCCCCAAGUCUUGGGGACCACAGAAGAUGCCAUGUGCUCCACGAUGUCGGCCCCCACCUGCCUGGCCCACUUGCCUCCCUGCUUCCUGCUGCUGGCACUGGUCCUUGUCCCCUCAGAUGCCUCUGGGCAGAGCAGCAGGAAUGACUGGCAGGUGCUACAGCCCGAGGGCCCCAUGCUGGUGGCAGAAGGCGAGACACUUCUACUGAGGUGUAUGGUGGUUGGCUCCUGCACUGAUGGUAUGAUAAAAUGGGUGAAGGUGAGCACUCAGGACCAACAGGAAAUUUAUAACUUUAAACAUGGCUCCUUCCCUGGGGUAAUGCCCAUGAUCCAACGGACAUCAGAACCACUGAAUUGUGAUUAUUCCAUCUAUAUCCACAAUGUCACCAGGGAGCACACUGGAACCUACCACUGUGUGAGGUUUGAUGGUUUGAGUGAACACUCAGAAAUGAAAUCGGAUGAAGGAACCUCAGUGCUUGUGAAGGGUAAGGAUCAGGCCCUGCAGACCACACAUUUGCUCCAGUCUGUUUCCCUGCACAGUCACCUUUAUCCACUGUAUCAUGCUGUAUCACACAAAAUUUCAGUGGCGUACAACAAUACAUAUUUGUAUCUCUACAUGCACAUUUACAUGUGCCUGGGUGGUUCCACUCCUCAUGUCUCAUGCCAGAGCCCGGGCUGGAGAGGUAGCAACUAUGUGGGGCAUGUUUUCUCAUAAAGAUGGCAGAAGCAGAAGCCCAGUCCCAACUCUUCAAGUACACCUCAAGCAUCUACUGACAUUAUGUCUGCUAACAGCCCACUGGCUAAAGCAAGUCACAUGGCUCAGCUCCAAGUCAAGGGACAAGGAAGAAUAGUCUUCCACCAUGCACCAAAGGUAAGAGUGUGGAUGUACCCUAUUACAAGCACAGAGUCAAAACCUGAGGCUGAUCAUGUCAUCUACCACACUCCCCAAGUACUCAAUCAUGGCAUCUGUAAGUCCACCUAUGGUGACCUGAAUACCCAAAUCCUGGGCCUGUCAUUGAAUAGUAGUUCCUUCUUAAGUCAGUUACCCUGG